rnacentral:rRNA from 1 species
GUAGCAAUACAUCUAGUGGCGAACGGGUGAGUAACGCGUGGAUGAUCUACCUAUGAGAUGGGGAUAACUACUAGAAAUAGUAGCUAAUACCGAAUAAGGUCAAUUAAUUUGUUAAUUGAUGAAAGGAAGCCUUUAAAGCUUCGCUUGUAGAUGAGUCUGCGUCUUAUUAGUUAGUUGGUGGGGUAAAUGCCUACCAAGGCGAUGAUAAGUAACCGGCCUGAGAGGGUGAACGGUCACACUGGAACUGAGAUACGGUCCAGACUCCUACGGGAGGCAGCAGCUAAGAGA